rnacentral:misc_RNA from 1 species
GUAACAUUUUGAAUUAUAAAUUCUAGAAAUUCAGUUAAGUUCCCUUGGUUCUUAUAUCCGAUAAUUCAGUCACAACAAUCUGUUUUCUUAUGGUAACAAUCACAAUUUUGAGCAGCUUAUAUUCAAUCAUAAGUUUGGGAAUGCAUUUGGUACAGAGUAUUACCACUUUAGCUGAUCAGUAAUAAUUUUGACUCAUCUGUGUGUGUAAUUCCUGUAC